UGGAGCCCUUGUGCGUGAGAAUAACUCCUAGCUGGAGCCUGGCUCGUAAGGAGCUCAGGGCUGGCUUGAAAACACCCUGUGGGUCCUCUCCGAGGGCCGCUGAGAUGCGGUCACACCGGUUCAGGCUACUUUAAAGCUUCGGAAACCAAGGGAGGAAGAAACAGAGGCUCAGAGAAAGGAGCUUGCUCAAGGUGACACAGCAGAACUGGGAUUUGAACCAGGUUGCUCUUGCUGCUUCCAUUUUUCUGUCUGAAAAUGGAGUGACUGAAAGCUCUUCAAACGUCUGUUUCUGAAGCAUCCUGCUGGACUUGGCAGAGGAUACAGGGUGGCAUCGGAUGUGAGCCCAGUCCUAAGGAACAGAUCUUCGCUUUAGGCAAAAAGAAGCAAACCCGUUAAAAAGGGACUAGAAAGCUAGAUAAUCAACAUCAACACAUCCAAAAGUAGUUUCCAGUUGGUUUGGAAUGCAGCUGAUUUGACUUCCUAAUUACAUCGGACGCACAUCACCUUAGCCAGUGGGAAACUAUCAUGGACUGCAAGCAUUCCCGUGGUAGAGAAAGAAGAGCCUUGAGGGCGGGGCACAUCCAGGCACUGCUGUCUGCACUACAGUAAUAAAGAAAUACGCUGAUAGAGAGAACGGCUUCGAGUGAUAAACAAUCCCCAGGGAUCUGCAGUGAGAUUGUUGGUUGACUGGAAAUGCUCUCUAUCUCUCCAGAUGGUAUCUGUCCUUGAAGAAGCCAUUCAUUGCCUAGAAAAUAAAAAGACCCUUACUGAGCUCCUAUCAUGUGUCAGAUACUGUGCUAGAUACAGGGGACACAAAAGUGAAUGCGAAAGGGUCCUUUCCUUUAAGAGGCAGUCUACUAGGAGAGAACAGUUAUGUAAACAAGUGCAACCAAAAACAGAAGGACAGCUGGCAGAGCUCCAGACGGUGGCUGCUGCAUCAGCCUGGGGGGCAGAGUAGUGCUCCCCCAGCAAACAGACCUCGUCCGAAGCCACCAGGGACCUGGGCUGCUGGUUAUGGUAGCACAGCCCAGCACAUCCUGACCAGCACAGUGAGAGCUACGAGGAUGAAGACUUCGGGAAAAGGAGUUCUGUGAACGCCACGUUUACCCAAAGAGAGAUGUUACCGAAGUUACCACUUACUUUUUCUUUGGUAAUCUGCCACAGUCCAACAGGAAUGCCCAUAUCUGAUGAGUCCCUGCCAUGGCUAUCCACAGAAUGUCAUCUCUUUGGACCUCUGAACCUUUAUGAAAAUAAACAGUAAUUACUAUAGAUAUAUCUGGUUAAUACAAACAUUCCCAAUCUUUCAGAAAUUUAAAUUAAGGGAAGACAGUAGUAUGUUUAUAAAUCAUCCGAUAGAAGAAAGUAAAAAUAUUUGCAAUGUUUUAAGUCAUUUUGGAAAUUUUUCCAUUUUCCUCAUGAAAAGUUUACUUCUUUAGACUUAUAAAUUUACAUUCACAGAAAUCCGAAGUAUUCUUAAUAGCAAAAUGUCCCUCUGCAUCUCUGGGCACAAUGUUUUUAAACAUCUGAUUUCUUAUUUUAUGUGACAGAAGAAAUGGGUUGACACACACUCUCCAAAGAAACUCUGGCACUCAAGUACCUAAAUUACAUGCUUUAGGAAUAUAGGAAUAGUUCUUUGAACAAUUUCUCAUGAAAGGACUGUAUCUUUUAAUAGUUUAAGAAAUGUAUAUUUCUACCCCAGUAUUAGCUUUUAAGACUUAGACUCACAUCACUGCUGCUCUUUAAAAAUCUACUGUUUAAUUGUGAACCUUUUUCAAAAAGAUAUGGUUGACAUGUAAUAAAGCUAAGAGUACACUAUAUUACAAUAUAGCUGUUUUCUAAAAUUAAUAAAUAAUGUUGUUUUUUUAGACUGAUAUUACAACUUAUUACAAUGUGACAAGGCUCUGUUUCUCAAAUUAAUUCUAUUUUUAAAAUAUUUAAUUAAGCUGUAUUCUGAAGCUACUUUUACAUGUAGUUGAGACAUUUUCACUAAAAUAAUUUGGUCAGACAUAUGCUAAAAUAAAUAUAUCGGAAAGGCUAUUUUAUUUGUACUUUCUUUAACUUCAAGUAGUUGUGUCCAGAAGGAAUUUUUCUUCCUUAACUUGAAUUACUUUCAAGUGUCUUUUAAUUUAACAAAAUUAAAUUUUGUUUAUUUAAUUAAAAUUUUGUUUAAUUUAACAAAAAUAAUGUUGAUGGUCAAUAAACUGUGGUUGCUAUGUGCCAAGCACUUUACAGAGAUUAUCACUUGAAUCUUCUCAAAAGGCCCUUCUUACAGGCCUUUUACAAAAGAAACUGAGGCUUAGACAGGUUAGCUAACUUACCAGAAUCACAGAGCUAGUAAAUGAAGGAACUGGAAUCUGAACCCAGGAAGUCCAACAAGAAAAUCUAUUUAACAUGCUGCCUCUUUCGCUGUGUUAAUUGCUAUCAUGAAAUGGAAAGUAGUUUACUUCCAUUUAAUUUUUCAGUCAAAUAUUUUUAAUAAACAUAAAUUAAAAGUGACAGUGCAUCCAUGUAUUCUGGGGACUCAGUCUCUGCUUAAUCACUUUAGAACUAGAUCAAAAACUUUUCAUUAUUAUAUUCUUUUAUUUUGCCCCUGCCAUGUGAAGACAAAGGUUGAAGGUGACCGUCUAUAAGCCAGAAGAGAGCUCUCACCAGAAACCAAUCAUGCUGGCACCUUGACCUUGGACUUCUAGCCUCCAGAAC